ACUGAGCCACCCAGGCGCCCCCCCCCCAAAUUUUUUUUUUUAAUUAAAAAAUACUUGGUGGAUUCUUGUUGUAGAUGUAAGUUUUAUUUCAGCUGAAAUCAAACUUUGUAAAUAAUUUUUUUUUUUGAAAGGUUGAUUUGACCUCAAUAUAGAGAGCCUUAGCAUGUGUGUGGGCCCACAAGAUCCUUGCUGAAAAAGAGAAGACAUCACUGUAAGGUCAGUGAAUUCAGGGGGAGCCAGGAUGAUAUUGUAAGUAGUUAAUAAUUACCCUGACCAUGCUAUCUAGACUGAAGCUCUCCCAAGGUAACGCUUAGUGCAGAGCCCUGCAGAGAAGUUUCUUUUAAAAAAGCAAAAUUGUGGAAUAAGUGAAGUAUGUCAGUGACUUUUCACUUCCUUUUUUCAUUAUACUUUCGACCUGCUUCUGAAACCACCAUGACUUCAGAGACCAGGGCCCUCUGAUGGCCCCUGAAAGCGCAGGGUUCCCAGCCAGACUUGACUGUCCUGUGCUUUGGACUUAUCCUUGGGUAGGUGUGCCCUGGAGUGUUUUCAUUACCUUUUAUGUAAUAAUUCCCACAAAUUUCAAUAGGUUGUGAUUCAUUACAUGCUUAAUCAAAUAUUACUUGUAUAUCUUUGUGAGAACUGGUAUGUGAUUUAAUUUACAAAAUCAGUAAAAGAAAGUCCUUGCUUAAACUAUACAUCCUGAGUUUUGCUUCUAAAAAUACCAAUGCUGUAUCUACAAACCCAGCUCCAGUAUAUCCACACUGAGGUGCCGAUGAUAGAUAAAAGCUUAAUAAAUAACCCUUUCCAGAAGAAUGGGUACUGCAACACACAUUGCCUUAACCCACAGACCUUGCCUCUCUUCCCUUUCUUGUUAUCUUGCUAAUCAGUUGUGGGAGCCCUUUUCUACCUUAAUAUCAUUUCAACAUAGUGAUUCAGACUUCUGUUGGUCGACUGGUAUUGGCCUGUGAUACAUGAUCUGCUUACCAUCCAAUUUAAAGGAAUGGAACUCCAGAAGUAGGAUUGAAGGCAGCAACAAGGAACCAGACUCAUAGGGGGCUCAGAAAUAUUCCUUUGCUUUGAAUGUCCUCCAUCUGGAAGAGUUUAGCUAAUUAAACCAAAGAUCACGGAUGAGUUGGCCCCAUUUAUCUCCAAUGGAUGAAAUCCUUUUCUCUCCAGAGGAUUCUUCAGACAAAUAUCAAGGCAGUCCCUUGCUUCACCCAGUGGGCCUUCCGAUCUCUUCCUUAGCAAGGCAAUGUGGUGCUGAGCACCAGAAAAUUCCCAGGGAGAGCCUCUGCCAAAAUGCAAAACCAAGGAAAAAGGAUAAGAGCAACAGUUUUGGACCAGGCUGGCAGAAAUGGUAAACCCCAUCUGCCAUAUUUGCUUUUUCUUAAUCUAAAAUAACAGAGAUAACAUACACAAUGGACUUUCUAACUUGCCACUUUUCCCUUAUCUUUUUUCCCUUUGUGAGCCUAAGACAUCGUGUUCUUUCAUAUAACCUCUCUCUCUCUCAAAAAAAAAAAAAAAACAAAAAAAAAAAACCAACAACAACAAAAACAAAAAAACCCUUGGCCAUUCCGUUCCCUGCCGCCCAUGGAGAAGAACAGACUCUAUCUGAUAUUUCAGCUGGAAGGCAGGGUGGCAGAUUCUUUCCAAUGGGGUGGCGACUUCCUCCCUACUCUCAGAACACACCCCUUCCCAAAAAUACGCCCUCCUGGGCAAGCAGCACAAAGGGAAUGUCAGCAAAUGCCCACAUCCCUUCCUUUUCCUUUUACACCCAGUGGCCUGGGAAUGGCGGGCACGCUCGGGGAAUGCGCACCACCAAUCGGUGUGCGGCCCCAUGGGGCCUGUAAAGCGGCCUUGCUCUCAUCUCUUGCCCUCUUGGACCGUCUUCCAAACCAACUCCCAGAUGGGAUUGUCCUAAAACGCAAAUCUGAUCAUUUCAUUUCAUCUACUUAAGAACUUGCCGUGGCCUUUUGGCCCACAAUGAGGGUUCCCAAACUCCUGCCUGAGGUCUAUGCCAGCUAUAUAAGGAUCAUUGUAUUCAGAUGUAGUUUCUAGAGUUUAGGUUAGAACCUGGGGAUCUGCCUAUGUUAGCCUGAAUUCUUUAGGUUGGUAAGUGACAGUAACUCAUCUCAAACUAGCUUAGGUCAAAAAAGGAAUCUAUUAUUUCCUCUGACAAGGAAGUUUAGGGGGUAAAAUGAUCUCAAUUAUAUCUGUGAGAUUUUAAUUUAUGGAGGUGACUAAAUGAUGAUGUGGAGACGUCAAUACCAUUGAAAGACUAAAGUAUUAAUUAAUUUCCUAAGA